rnacentral:ncRNA from 1 species
UCGCCCACAAUCUGUUGAAACGGUUUCAACACGGAUGGGAUCGGGCGCGCAGUGCAAAUAUCGCGUGUCUCGAUGGUCGGCAAGGUUCGAAGCUCUUUUCAGGGGCAUCCGUGUUGGGAUCGUUCUUCGAUUUGGUAUCGAAGUCUCCCACAGUUGGUCUCCUCGCGCUAACCCCGUAGCGUGUGGUUUUUAGCGGGCUCCAGGCCCGCUUUUUUUU